rnacentral:rRNA from 1 species
CAGCCGUAAACAAUGUGCGUUAGGUAUGUCGGUAACCACGUGUUACUGAUGUGCCGAAGAGAAAUCGUGAAACGCACCACCUGGGAAGUACGGUCGCAAGGCUGAAACUUAAAGGAGUUGGCGGGGGAGCACCACAACAGGUGGAGCCUGCGGUUUAAUUGGAUUCAACGCCGGACAUCUCACCGGAUAAGACAGCUGAAUGAUUGUCAAUCUGAAGGUUUACAUGACUAGCUGAGAGGUGGUGCAUGGCGUCAGUGACU